rnacentral:rRNA from 1 species
UACGUAGGGGGCAAGCGUUACUCGGAAUUACUGGGCGUAAAGCGUGCGUAGGCGGUGAGUUAAGUCUGAUGUGAAAUCCCCGGGCUCAACCUGGGAAUGGCAUUGGAUACUGGCUCGCUAGAGUACGGUAGAGGGUGGUGGAAUUCCCGGUGUAGCAGUGAAAUGCGUAGAGAUCGGGAGGAACAUCUGUGGCGAAGGCGGCCACCUGGACCAGUACUGACGCUGAGGCGCGACAGCGUGGGGAUCAAACAGG